rnacentral:rRNA from 1 species
CACGUAGGGCGCAAGCGUUGUCCGGAGUUAUUGGGCGUAAAGAGCUCGUAGGCGGACUGUCACGUCUGCUGUGAAAAGCUGGGGCUUAACCCUGGCCUUGCAGUGGAUACGGGCAGACUAGAGGUAGGUAGGGGAGAAUGGAAUUCCCGGUGUAGCGGUGAAAUGCGCAGAUAUCGGGAGGAACACCGGUGGCGAAGGCGGUUCUCUGGGCCUUACCUGACGCUGAGGAGCGAAAGCGUGGGGAGCGAACAGG